UGAGGAUGUAACAACAGAGUCAGGUAGUGCAAGCUAGGCAUUGACCACUCUUGUUGAAGUCCUAUUUUCUGCAAUGGAGUUACACCUUGGCUGCGCUCCCGCCACGCGCUGCAAACGAAAUCCGCCCGCCGUCGGUGGGUCCGAGUCCCCAGGGUCAACGAAAAGAAAGGACACGGAGUGGGCAAGCUGGCUCGACAGGCAGAAACCCAGAGAGGUGUGUCGUCUGGGUACAAAUAUCUCUGUACAAUAACCAUCAGAAUUUACAACAUCAUUCAGAGUCAAACCAGACAGUUACGGAGGUGCAGAUGACAGACUCAAUAAAUCCUCUGUAGAACGAAUCAGCAGCUCUUUGGGCAGUUUGAGCAUAUAAUUUGUUCCUUCACCGACAGAAGUCCAUUCCAUAUUCUUGGCAACCGAGGAAAUCCGCUCAACCCCAAUUUCGCUCCUUCACCAGUUGAGACAUGUUUCAGAAUAGCAAGCACAAGAUGGCACCAUUCACACAAGACAGAGUUGAACAUGGUGGAACAACGCCCAGUUUCUCCUGAGGCCUCAUGUGAGCAGCGUUGCUACUCUUACUCAAUAAACCAGUGCGAUCUUAUUCUA